GACGAACGCUGGCGGCGUGCCUAAUACAUGCAAGUUGAGCGAUGAAGAUUGGUGCUUGCACCAAUUUGAAGAGCAGCGAACGGGUGAGUAACGCGUGGGGAAUCUGCCUUUGAGCGGGGGACAACAUUUGGAAACGAAUGCUAAUACCGCAUAACAACUUUAAACAUAAGUUUUAAGUUUGAAAGAUGCAAUUGCAUCACUCAAAGAUGAUCCCGCGUUGUAUUAGCUAGUUGGUGAGGUAAAGGCUCACCAAGGCGAUGAUACAUAGCCGACCUGAGAGGGGGAUCGGCAACAGUGGGACUGAGACACGGCCCAAACUCCUACGGGAGGCAGCAGUAGGGAAUCUUCGGCAAUGGACGAAAGUCUGACCGAGCAACGCCGCGUGAGUGAAGAAGGUUGUCGGAUCGUAAAACUCUGUUGGUAGAGAAGAACGUUGGUGAGAGUGGAAAGCUCAUCAAGUGACGGUAACUACCCAGAAAGGGACGGCUAACUACGUG
rnacentral:rRNA from 1 species